UACGUAGGGGUCCGAGCGUUGUCCGGAAUUAUUGGGCGUAAAGGGCUCGUAGGCGGUUUGUCGCGUCGGGAGUGAAAUCUUACAGCUUAACUGUGAACUUGCUUCCGAUACGGGCAGACUUGAGGCAUCAGGGGAGACGGAAUUCCUGGUGUAGCGGUGAAAUGCGCAGAUAUCAGGAGGAACACCGGUGGCGAAGGCGGUUCUCUGGGAAUGUACUGACGCUGAGGAGCGAAAGUGUGGGGAGCGAACAGG
rnacentral:rRNA from 1 species